AUCGCUUCUCGCGGCCUUUUGGCUAAGAUCAAGUGUAGUAUCUGUUCUUAUCAGUUAAUAUCUGAUAUCCCCCAUCCGGACUACAUAUUAAAUGGAUUUUGAGAUCACAGGAGCGGAGCGGGGCCUUGCUCCGUCCACUCCAUGCAUCGGCCUGGUAUUGCAGUGUCUCCAGGAACGGUGUGCUUUUC
ensembl:snRNA U2 U2 spliceosomal RNA